rnacentral:rRNA from 1 species
AGUCGACGGCAGCACGGACUUCGGUCUGGUGGCGAGUGGCGAACGGGUGAGUAAUGUAUCGGAACGUGCCUAGUAGCGGGGGAUAACUACGCGAAAGCGUAGCUAAUACCGCAUACGCCCUACGGGGGAAAGCAGGGGAUCGCAAGACCUUGCACUAUUAGAGCGGCCGAUAUCGGAUUACCUAGUUGGUGGGGUAAUGGCUCACCAAGGCGACGAUCCGUACCUGGUUUGAGAGGACGACCAGCCACACUGGGACUGAGACACGGCCCAGACUCCUACGGGAGGCAGCAGUGGGGAAUUUUGGACAAUGGGGGAAACCCUGAUCCAGCCAUCCCGCGUGUGCGAUGAAGGCCUUCGGGUUGUAAAGCACUUUUGGCAGGA